UUUAGAAUCUUUGGAAAAGGGCCAAGAAAUAGAUCGUGAGCCAAGCUUCCAGAAAUCUCUCUCGGAGCUGUUGCUAGUGCUACUGCAGUUUCAAAGAGACUGGGAAUUAAUUACACCUUAAGUUUUUCUCAACUCUGAGAUGAAACUAAGGAUAAUUUAGGGACCGUUCAAAGGAGAACACCCAAGGCUGAUAAACUUCAAGAGAAAGCUCCAAAAUGGUCUAAAAGACGUGGGCCAAGGAAUCCUAAGCAUGACGAUACAGAAGAGUGCGUCUGAUAUGGUCUCAUGGAGAUGAGAUCUGUUGUCAUGAUUCUUACGAGAAUGAUGGAGAGACAGAGAAAUGGAAAGACUCUAUAGUGGAGGAGUGGGGACCUCACCAUGGAGGAUGGAGUUCCAAAGACCAUGUCAACACCUCUGCCCAGUGGAAUUCAUCUUUUGGAGAGAAGCCCUACGAGUGUUGUAAAUGCUGGAAACAUUUCAGCAAUGAUUCUCACCUCCAUAUGCACCAGAAGACACACUCAGGAAAAACCAUAUAAAUGUUCUGAGUGUGGGAAAUCCUUUUCUAACAGUUCCCACCUGACUCAGCACUGAAACACUCAGGGGAGAAGCCCGUCCCGUGUGUCGAGUGUGGGAAAAGCUUCAGCAAUACUUCCCACUUUACUGUCCACGAGAGAACUCACACAGGAGAGAGGCCUUGUAACUGUCCUGAUUGGAAAGGGUUUUGGCCUUAGCUCUCACCUUCUUAGACACCAGAGAACACACACUGGAGAAAAGCCUUACUAGGUGGAAAAUAUUCAGUCAGAGCUCCACCCUGGUGACUCAUCAGAGGACAUACUCGGGAGAGAAACCUUGUAAGUGUCUCUCUCUCCACUGUGGUGAGCCCUCCAGUCAAAGGUCCAAUCUGAUCGGGUAGCAGAGAAUCCAUGGAGGAGAGAAAGCUUACAAAGGUCCAGACUGUGAGAGACGCCUCAGCGGAAAUGCUUACCCUAGUUAGCACUGCAAAAUACACAUCCAGGUCUCCCCAGCCUCUGAAAGUGGGGCAUAUUCUUCAUGAAUGGACCCCCCCCCCCAAUAUUCAUGGGAAAUGGUCCCGAUCCUUUCAUUUUUG
rnacentral:lncRNA from 1 species